AGUUUCAUGCAUCCAUCCUUUGAUUGCCCUAGGUCUCUAGUUUGUGGCUGUAAAGUUUCAUGAGGCUGUGAUUAUCCUAGAGGUCACCACAGGUUAUUUUAUACAGCGAGGUCAAGUUAUAAAAAAUGGUGUCACUACAAUGAAAUGGCUACUAUGGGGACUAAUAUCAUCACACAUGAAUACAAUUGGGCUCAUUGGAUCCAUAAGAGUCUCAGCUUUACAGUGAUACCCAAUUUACACAAUUCCAAGAUUGUUUAGGGACACCAUAGGCAAAAAUAUUCAAACAGCAUUUUAGAAUAGGCAAAAAUAACACAUUUGUACUGCAUGCACAAAACUGCAUGU